AGGUACGAUUAUACUAAUAUUAAUGUAUGGGAUCCAAUCAGAAUUCCAUAAUCAAGGAGCUUGGGCCGAGAGCAUUACUAAAAUGGGUGUCAGCCUUGAAAGUCAUUAUGUUGUACUUC